rnacentral:rRNA from 1 species
UACGAAGGGGGCUAGCGUUGUUCGGAAUCACUGGGCGUAAAGCGCACGUAGGCGGAUCUUUUAAGUCAGGGGUGAAAUCCCGAGGCUCAACCUCGGAACUGCCUUUGAUACUGGGGAUCUCGAGUCCGGGAGAGGUGAGUGGAACUGCGAGUGUAGAGGUGAAAUUCGUAGAUAUUCGCAAGAACACCAGUGGCGAGGCGGCUCACUGGCCCGGAACUGACGCUGAGGUGCGAAAGCGUGGGGAGCAAACAGGAUUAGAAACCCU